rnacentral:rRNA from 1 species
CAGCAGCCGCGGUAAUACAGAGGGUGCGAGCGUUAAUCGGAUUUACUGGGCGUAAAGCGUGCGUAGGCGGCUUCUUAAGUUGGAUGUGAAAUCCCUGAGCUUAACUUAGGAAUUGCAUUCGAUACUGGGAAGCUAGAGUAUGGGAGAGGAUGGUAGAAUUCCAGGUGUAGCGGUGAAAUGCGUAGAGAUCUGGAGGAAUACCGAUGGCGAAGGCAGCCAUCUGGCCUAAUACUGACGCUGAGGUACGAAAGCAUGGGGAGCAAACAGGAUUAGAUACCCCUGUAGUCCCUGUCUCUUAUAC